UACAGUACGACAGAGCUGGUAAAUGUGUUUCCUGCCCUCAAGGAGUUCAGAGUCUCAAAACCUCCGAGAUGAGCACAGGGAUGAGAGACUUUCCAUUUCAGCCACGGAGCCCCAAGCCGACCAAAGGAAAGCCUCAGAUGGAAGUAUUCGGGGAACUCGAAACUCUCCUCGUUGCAAGGAUUUUGGAGAGGCUGUGGAAGUGUUUCCUCUUACGCUAAUGAAAUAUUACAAUUAUACCGUG